GACGAACGCUGGCGGCGUGCUUAACACAUGCAAGUCGAACGGAAAGGCCCUGCUUUUGUGGGGUGCUCGAGUGGCGAACGGGUGAGUAACACGUGAGUAACCUGCCCUUGACUUUGGGAUAACUUCAGGAAACUGGGGCUAAUACCGGAUAGGAGCUCCUGCUGCAUGGUGGGGGUUGGAAAGUUUCGGCGGUUUGGGAUGGACUCGCGGCUUAUCAGCUUGUUGGUGGGGUAGUGGCUUACCAAGGCUUUGACGGGUAGCCGGCCUGAGAGGGUGACCGGCCACAUUGGGACUGCGAUACGGCCCAGACUCCUACGGGAGGCAGCAGUGGGGAAUAUUGCACAAUGGGCGGAAGCCUGAUGCAGCAACACCGCGUGCGGGAUGACGGCCUUCGGGUUGUAAACCGCUUUCGCCUGUGACGAAGCGUGAGUGACGGUAAUGGGUAAAGAAGCACCGGCUAACUACGUG
rnacentral:rRNA from 1 species